GUCUCAAGCGUUGUUCGGAUUCAUUGGGCGUAAAGGGUGCGUAGGCGGCGCGGUAAGUCGGGUGUGAAAUCUUGGAGCUUAACUCCGAAACUGCAUUCGAUACUGCCGUGCUUGAGGACUGGAGAGGAGACUGGAAUUUACGGUGUAGCGGUGAAAUGCGUAGAUAUCGUAAGGAAGACCAGUGGCGAAGGCGGGUCUCUGGACAGUUCCUGACGCUGAGGCACGAAGGCCAGGGGAGAAAACGGG
rnacentral:rRNA from 1 species